UCACCUCGUACGGCUCCAAUUCUCCGACUGGGCACAUGCCUAACGCAAAUGUAACGUGCUAUUUCUGCUCUGCCUCCCGCGUUUGACCUUCAGAUUCACUUGCUGUAAAUAAUUCAUGCUGGUAAACCUCCCAGCCAAGCGUUCUCGGGGAAGCAGAAGCAGAAGCGGGACGUGAACUCCACCGGAGAGGGGCUGUCUCGGUGCGGGGCACGUGGACCUCAUGACCCCAAGGUGGGGUGGAAGCAGAGAGCCAGUCAUGGAGAUGCCAUAAAUCUGCAAGUUGCAGCCUUUUGCUGGUGCGGCCUUCCCAGAUGCACACGUUAUUUCAAUUAAAACCCAGCUGCCUGCUCAGGGGGUCGGUAAACGUGCUCCCCACCCACCACCACGGCUGAACGCGGCAUGCUUAAAAAAUAAAUAAGAUUCCUGCUCCCCCCUCCCCGAAUCCUGCCUCUGUUUCUCCUCGUUUUCCUCAAUUAAGUCCUAUUAAAAACAACCAAGUGAA